CACGUAGGGGACGAGCGUUGUCCGGAUUCAUUGGGCGUAAAGCGCGCGUAGGCGGCUCGGUAAGUCGGGCGUGAAAUGCCGGGGCUCAACCCCGGGACUGCGUCCGAUACUUCCGAGCUGGAGGUAGGUAGGGGAGAGCGGAAUUCCUGGUGUAGCGGUGAAAUGCGCAGAUAUCAGGAGGAACACCGGUGGCGAAGGCGGAACUCUGGGCCUGCCCUGACGCUGAGGCGCGAAAGCUAGGGGAGCGAACAGG
rnacentral:rRNA from 1 species